CGUCUAGGCGGAUCGGUAAGUCAGAUGUGAAAUCCUCCGGCUCAACCGGGGAACUGCAUUUGAAACUGUCGAUCUUGAGUUCGGAAGAGGAAAGCGGAAUUCCUGGUGUAGCGGUGAAAUGCGUAGAUAUCAGGAAGAACACCAGUGGCGAAGGCGGCUUUCUGGUCCGAUACUGACGCUGAAGCGCGAAAGUGUGGGGAGCAAACA
rnacentral:rRNA from 1 species